GAUUCAUAGCAUUUAUGUGUAGGCCUAACCAGUAGAUGGCACUGUCAGCUAAGCAAUGCAGGUAGACCUCGUGUAAGCGCCAGUUAGAGCAAAGCCCUUGAUGGAGCAGAUGGAUGGGUGAAAGCAAGCAGACAUCUCCUUCGUGACUUAUAGGUAGGUUUUCAAAUAUUUCCUCUUCAGUAGGCUACUAUGUGAAUGGCAUUUCAAUUACUAGAAUUUUUUUUUUGCGUGAUGUAUAGAGAAUAGUUUAGUGUAAAUUUCAUAUUGAAAGAGCUUGCUAGCGUGCUAACGUAUUAGCAGCUAAACGUAGCAUCAGCCUAGAACUAUGGGCAAAUUGUGUGUGAUAUCAUUCAUAUGUAAGGUAUUAUUCGGGCAUACAGGCUCAGUGACUAUCAGACUAUUUGGUUAUCGGAUUAUUGCACUACUGAAUGCUUACUGAAUACUGAAUAACCUUUUUUUAACCUCAUCCCACAGAAUUUUCCUAACAUUGGCGCCAAAAUCAUAGGCGAAAUGGUUGACCGAGACUUGGUCACAGCCAUUCAGACGGCUGUCGCCUCUGGAAUAAGGUCUGCUUUGUCAUCUAUGCCGACAACAUCAGCAACAGCUGGACUGUCAACCUCAGCCACAACCUCGGCUACCACUGCAGUAAGACUAGUACCCCUUCCAUCAGUCCCUCAGAACAGCUGGGGUACAAAUCGAAGGACUCGUCAGAGGCAGAGAACGUACACAAAAGACGUGAUCUGUUUGCCAUUUAGUACAGCAACAACAAUGAACAUCCCAAGAGGUCAUUCCCGCAAUAAUUUAGCAGAAUCAGGUCUUAUUGGGAAAAUUUCUUUUGGGUCUGACUGGUCUGAAUUACAGCUACGUGCUGAAAUAUCAGCCAUUUUCAGAAGCAGCUUUGGGCUGGCAGAGAAUCAAAUGCUGCCAUUUGAAUACCUGGGAACUAUAAAAGGCAGUAAGAAAUUAAUGAAACCAAAAGUCACCAGGUCCUUCCCAUGGGGAGGUAAGGAGGUGGCCUCUAUCUGCUCUCAAACAUGCCUGUAUGUAUUGGCUGGAAUACACAAACCCAAUCAGGACGAAAUCAUUGAUGUCCCUGAUGAUGAUGAUGAUGAUGACGAUGAUUUCCAAAUGCCACAAAGAAGACAACUGCGCCAGAGAGAGCCUUUGCCUACAAGGGAAACUCCGCA